GCCAGUUUUUUAUAGUUCAGACUUGUUAUAGUUCUGGCAUUUUAUUUUUUUUGUCAUGGAAAGCUACAUCAAAUUACUGUUUUUCUUCUUUACAUUAGUCGUCUUUGUUCAGACAUGUGUAGACGGAUAUUCUGGUACGUACAAUUCUUUUCAUAUUUUUGUCAAGUGAGUAUUAAAGCUGAGAUUUUUUUUCUUUUGUAAAACGUAUAAACACGCACGUUCCAAUACAUUUUAAUAGUGUAUAUCCGAACACUUUAGACAGAAAUGCAAAUAGCUUCAUUAAAAUGUUGAGACAAAAACGUGUACACAUGUACGUAUGGACACGUUGGUACACGUUCUGGUUUCUUUUGAAAUUCGUAUGAGAGAGUUGGGUUCAGACUACCAUUUACAUUAUAUUCGUUUUUGUUAUAUGAAGUGACAAAGGCUAUAUAAUGCAUAACGGAAACUAACAAAAAUUGUAUAUUUAUUAGAUUGAACACAUUGAACUCGUUGAAAAGUUUCAUAAUAACAGAAUCCGGGGUUAGUCAUUAGCAUAAUAUUGUCGAAACUAAAACAAUUCUACUCUUCCUUAUUACUUUACUUCUACUUUUUAUUGUUUGAUUUAAUUACACUCCCAACCUCUUUAAUCCAGAUGCGAUUUAAUUGAUGCCUGGAUGUAGAUGUACCUACCGAGUUUUGAAUAUUUCAAGCCGCCAAUGUCGUGAAAACAGCAAAACUAUGAAAAUAUCAAUAAAAUUUCAAACUAAAUGAAUCUUCACCGACAUGUCCCUGGCCAUACAAAGAUGUGCCUUCCGACUUACUUUGAGAUUUAAAUGACUAAGUUUGGCUAGCCACGAAACGAGGUUCAACACACCAUGUUUUCUUAAAAUGUUCUGUACCAAGUCAGGAAAAUGGCAUUUGUCAUCUUAUAUUUCGUUUCUGUGUGUAUUCCAUUGUCGUUUUUUCUUCACUUCAGUGUUUCUGUUGUUUCGUUGUUUUCCUCUAAUAGUUGAUGUGUUUCCCUCGGUUUUAGUUUGUAACACGGUUUUAUUUUUGUCUCAAUCGAUUUAUGACUUCCGAACAGCGGUAUACUACUGUUGACUUUAUUCACUAUCAUAAAAAAUCAGAAAUGUGACAAAAAUAAAAUGUGCGUGAAAUUGUACAAAAAUGUGACCUGCCUUGUUUCUGACUCUUGAAUUCUCCAAUGAACUGCUGCUGUCAUGGUUAUAGAAAGUUAAAGGUUAUAUAAGCUAUUGCUUGCAAUUGCAAAAGUAGUUUAAGUAGCCUUUGUUAAUUUCACCAUAUUGUAGGAAAUACGUUUUACGUAUAAAUAUAUUGUAUGUUUCAACAAAUGCUGUGAUGAAUUUGAUGUGUAAUUUUUCGUUUUCGUUACGCUAUUUAGAAGCUGUUCAUUUUUUACUCAACAAGACAUCAUGUUUUGUAGUAUAAACUCGACGAUAGAUCAUGUGAUGGACACGAGCCAAGGUUCUAUUAUGGCAGACGUCAUAAUGUGAACAAUUUAUAUACGGAGGUUGUGAUGGAAAUGGGAACAAUUUCAAAAGUAUUGCUGACUGCCAGGCUAAUUGUCCGUAACUAACGUGUAUGUAUAGUAUGCGGUAAUGAAUGGGAAUGUUUAUAUUUUAAAUUUUGUUGGAAAAUAUUUCACAUACAACGUCCAGCUCACCUGAUAAAGAUACCAUUAGCAGCUUAGCGGAUUUUCGUAUGAUAAGUAGUCUUGAUUAAUACAGGCAUGUCUAACUUUAUAUUACUAUAAUGUAUUUUGAAUAGAAAUAUUAAAUAUGUUUAAAAAUAAGGGGGCUUUAAACGUGUAUAUGUAAAAGCCAUCGAUUUUAGUAAGAAAACAUUGAAUAUUUCUAAAGCAUUCAAAAAUGAUAAAUUGUCCUGGUUUUACGCUACAUCACAUGUUGAGGCUUUUAGAAACCACCUCAUAACCAUUGGUUAUGAGAUUACACUGAGAUUAUUAAAAGUCCAUAUUAUGAGAGAUGUGAUUCAAAAAGAAUACGUUAAGAAACUUACUUAAACGGCAUUUUUUUUUCAAAAAUAAAAUAAUAUAUAACAUUCAUAUAAACGAAAGGCGACAGAUUUCAGAGGACAUUCAAAAUCAUAGAUAAAAAAACCAUGUAUAAGUUAUACACACAUGUCGGGCAAUAAGGAAUGCGGGUAUAUUUUGAAAUACCAAAGCAUAUAAUUAUACAUUUAUUUCUAUUUUUUUCAGAUUCCAGAACGAAUUUUAAAUUACAUGCAA
rnacentral:lncRNA from 1 species